rnacentral:rRNA from 1 species
AACGAACGCUGGCGGCAGGCCUAACACAUGCAAGUCGAGCGAGGACUUCGGUUCUAGCGGCGGACGGGUGAGUAACGCGUGGGAAUGUGCCCUUCUCUACGGAAUAGCCCUGGGAAACUGGGAGUAAUACCGUAUACGCCCUAUUGGGGAAAGAUUUACCGGAGAAGGAUCAGCCCGCGUUGGAUUAGGUAGUUGGUGGGGUAAUGGCCUACCAAGCCGACGAUCCAUAGCUGGUUUGAGAGGAUGAUCAGCCACACUGGGACUGAGACACGGCCCAGACUCCUACGGGAGGCAGCAGUGGGGAAUCUUAGACAAUGGGGGCAACCCUGAUCUAGCCAUGCCGCGUGAGUGAUGAAGGCCUUAGGGUUGUAAAGCUCUUUCAGCUGGGAAGAUAAUGACGGUACCAGCAGAAGAAGCCCCGGCUAACUCCGUG